rnacentral:rRNA from 1 species
AUUGAACGCUGGCGGCAGGCCUAACACAUGCAAGUCGAGCGGAUGAAGGGAGCUUGCUCCUGGAUUCAGCGGCGGACGGGUGAGUAAUGCCUAGGAAUCUGCCUGGUAGUGGGGGAUAACGUCCGGAAACGGGCGCUAAUACCGCAUACGUCCUGAGGGAGAAAGUGGGGGAUCUUCGGACCUCACGCUAUCAGAUGAGCCUAGGUCGGAUUAGCUAGUUGGUGGGGUAAAGGCCUACCAAGGCGACGAUCCGUAACUGGUCUGAGAGUAUGAUCAGUCACACUGGAACUGAGACACGGUCCAGACUCCUACGGGAGGCAGCAGUGGGGAAUAUGGGACAAUGGGCGAAAGCCUGAUCCAGCCAUGCCGCGUGUGAAGAAGGUCUUCGGAUUGUAAAGCACUUUAAGUUGGGAGGAAGGGCAGUAAGUUAAUACCUUGCUGUUUUGACGUUACCAACAGAAUAAGCACCGGCUAACUUCGUG